rnacentral:lncRNA from 13 species
CAAAUUGUUAAAAAUAACUUUUUAACAGUUAUCAUGCUGGUCCUUUUUUUUUUCCAGCUAGACUCCCUGAGUGUCCUACUCCUUGUAACUAUUUGCUAAUUGAUUAUUCUUUCAGAAUCAGCAUUUCAAGCACCCAAAAUGUGUAGAAGAAUAUGUACCAAAGAAAGGAGCAGAAAGACAAAUAGAGGAAUGGAGAAUUUUGCCUGCGACUAUGAUGUUCUCAAGGUUAGCCGACCGUGCUCUAAAAUCCACCAAGAUUCCCAUUUUGGGAGUUGCUAUGUGACCAAGGUCUGCCCCUGUGGUAUGGGGACCACUUGCUCAUGCAGUUACAGUUCUUGCCUAACAGGAGCCCAUCAUGAAAACACAAGGAAGAAUCUGUGAGAAAAUCACAGAGAUCUAAAGAAGGGGAAAGGAAGAACCUGCAUUUAAGAGAGAAGAGAUUAUCUGACUUGGUAAAUAGGUAUUGAAAACCAGAGGUGUGUGGUUCUCUUAGAAUUUGAGUCCAUGGGAGGGACUUUAAAAAUUGAGAUUGUGAUUGUAUAAGCCAUGCUACUGAGAUUUAUUUUAAAGGAAAAUGUUUUAGCCAAGUAAAAAUAUAUAUAUAUAACCCUCACACUUCUCCAAGAGACAAAACAUAAAAAAAAAACAAUUUCUCUCUAUUUCCGGAAUGUGGCUUUGUUACAGAGCUGUCAGCCAAUCCGAAGUUCUCAAAACUUAUUUUAGUUUUACAAGAAACUUAC